rnacentral:lncRNA from 1 species
GCUUACGUAAAAUGAACUUGGCUUGGCUAAAAAACACUCUUACUGGUCAAUGACCAAAGUAGUUGGACAGGACACCACGAAAACA